rnacentral:rRNA from 1 species
GACGAACGCUGGCGGCGUGCCUAAUACAUGCAAGUCGAACGAACUCUGGUAUUGAUUGGUGCUUGCAUCAUGAUUUACAUUUGAGUGAGUGGCGAACUGGUGAGUAACACGUGGGAAACCUGCCCAGAAGCGGGGGAUAACACCUGGAAACAGAUGCUAAUACCGCAUAACAACUUGGACCGCAUGGUCCGAGUUUGAAAGAUGGCCUCGGCUAUCACUUUUGGAUGGUCCCGCGGCGUAUUAGCUAGAUGGUGGGGUAACGGCUCACCAUGGCAAUGAUACGUAGCCGACCUGAGAGGGUAAUCGGCCACAUUGGGACUGAGACACGGCCCAAACUCCUACGGGAGGCAGCAGUAGGGAAUCUUCCACAAUGGACGAAAGUCUGAUGGAGCAACGCCGCGUGAGUGAAGAAGGGUUUCGGCUCGUAAAACUCUGUUGUUAAAGAAGAACAUAUCUGAGAGUAACUGUUCAGGUAUUGACGGUAUUUAACCAGAAAGCCACGGCUAACUACGUGCCAGCAGCCGCGGUAAUACGUAGGUGGCAAGCGUUGUCCGGAUUUAUUGGGCGUAAAGCGAGCGCAGGCGGUUUUUUAAGUCUGAUGUGAAAGCCUUCGGCUCAACCGAAGAAGUGCAUCGGAAACUGGGAAACUUGAGUGCAGAAGAGGACAGUGGAACUCCAUGUGUAGCGGUGAAAUGCGUAGAUAUAUGGAAGAACACCAGUGGCGAAGGCGGCUGUCUGGUCUGUAACUGACGCUGAGGCUCGAAAGUAUGGGUAGCAAACAGGAUUAGAUACCCUGGUAGUCCAUACCGUAAACGAUGAAUGCUAAGUGUUGGAGGGUUUCCGCCCUUCAGUGCUGCAGCUAACGCAUUAAGCAUUCCGCCUGGGGAGUACGGCCGCAAGGCUGAAACUCAAAGGAAUUGACGGGGGCCCGCACAAGCGGUGGAGCAUGUGGUUUAAUUCGAAGCUACGCGAAGAACCUUACCAGGUCUUGACAUACUAUGCAAAUCUAAGAGAUUAGACGUUCCCUUCGGGGACAUGGAUACAGGUGGUGCAUGGUUGUCGUCAGCUCGUGUCGUGAGAUGUUGGGUUAAGUCCCGCAACGAGCGCAACCCUUAUUAUCAGUUGCCAGCAUUAAGUUGGGCACUCUGGUGAGACUGCCGGUGACAAACCGGAGGAAGGUGGGGAUGACGUCAAAUCAUCAUGCCCCUUAUGACCUGGGCUACACACGUGCUACAAUGGAUGGUACAACGAGUUGCGAACUCGCGAGAGUAAGCUAAUCUCUUAAAGCCAUUCUCAGUUCGGAUUGUAGGCUGCAACUCGCCUACAUGAAGUCGGAAUCGCUAGUAAUCGCGGAUCAGCAUGCCGCGGUGAAUACGUUCCCGGGCCUUGUACACACCGCCCGUCACACCAUGAGAGUUUGUAACACCCAAAGUCGGUGGGGUAACCUUUUAGGAACCAGCCGCCUAAGGUGGGACAGAUGAUUAGGGUGGUAG